rnacentral:lncRNA from 1 species
UUUUCUUAUUAUUUACUAAUUAACUUUUCUUUUUUCAUCAUUUCUAAGAGUAAAAUGAUUAUAUCAGUAGUUGCCCAAUUUUACUAUACAAUAUAUGCACAAGACAUUAAGAAAUAGUAACAAUGCACGAUUAACUACUACGAUUUUGAAUUUCUUUAUUUGAGAGAUAGGUAGCGUGCUACCUGCUUCAUUCAUUAGGUAAAUGAAUUUAGUUACAUAGGAUGAGGCAGUUAGGGCCUCAGAAGGUGACGGAAUAAAAGAAACAGAAACUUAAAAGAAUAAAAUAAAAUUCGAGCGAGAAAGAUGUAGGUACAUACUUAAAAUUAAGUCAUGGAGGUUAAGAGCAAAAAUAAAUAUUUAUAGAGAGGUAUUUAUGGGAUCUUCAUCACAUAUUGGCUUUUGCAUGUUUGACACAUCUCAUUCCUCUCUAUUUCUCAUUUCAUUAAAAUUUAUAGCAUUUCCAUCUCUUUCCCUUCUCUUUGUAACCAAAUCCUCUUCCCUGUUUACCCUAACUACCACAAUAUUCAUUUAAAUAUCAUUCAAAUUUCUUUCUUAGUAUCUAAACUUUAU